rnacentral:tRNA from 1 species
GGGGGUGUAGCUCAGCUGGUUAGAGUGCCGGCCUGUCACGCCGGAGGCCGCGGGUUCGAGUCCCGUCACUCCCGCCA